rnacentral:lncRNA from 1 species
AGCCGCUGUCCAACGUUAGCGCAGACACGGUGGCGGCGUGUGCGCCUCCGGGGCUGCUGAUUAGAAUAGGGGACUUGGCCGUGGAUGGAAUCCGGGAAACCCAAACCGGAGAUGGAAGGAUGAGGCUGCGUUUGCAGCGCGUGAAUGGGACGCGGAUAUCAAAGCAGACUGCAAUACCUGCGUGGAAAUAGAAGACAGAAAGGUGUGAACCAGCAAACGGGUGACAGUGAGAGGAAGGAACAAGCAUGUGAACAAAUGCGUGAACCACAGUCAGUCUCUGAAUGGAAAUCCAUGUGUCUUAUGAAAAUCAGUUAUUGUUGAAAGCCAUUUGCAAAGCUUCCACGAUCCUCGCUUGGCUGGUGCACGGCUGUGAGUGCUUCUUUCCAAGUCUCCUGUGGGUGACGGGGAAUGGCUAACCAGGGAUUGUGUUCACAGGCAUAUCGAUUCCAAGUCUGAUCACAGCCACAAAUUUCUUUCCCAGGUUAGUAAGAAGAAAUCAACACUUUACUUUCUUGGAUCAUAUGUUUUUAAACAUUAGUACUGAGGAAAUAAAGAAAGGGAGAGAGGAAGAAAAAAGAAGUACAAGAAAGAAUACACUGGGCUGGGCGUGGUGGCUCAUGCCUGUAAUCCCAGCACUUUGGGAGGCCAGUGCAGACAGAUCACUAGGUCGGGAGAUCGAGACCAUCCUGGCUAACACGGUGAAACCCAGUCUCUACUAAAAAUACAAAAAAUUAGCCGGGCGUGGUGGCGGGUGCCUGUAGUCCCAGCUACUCGGGGGGCUGAGGCAGGAGAAUGGUGUGAACCCAGGAGGGAGAGCUUGCAGUGAGCCGAGGUCAUGCCACUGCACUCCAGCCUGGGUGACAGAGUGAGACUCCACCUCGGAAAAAAACAAAAAACAAAAAACAAACAAACAAACAAAAAAACAUCAAGGAGAAGCAACACAGUGCAAUUCUUUAAAGUGCAUACAAUUAAAACACAUAGAAGAGGAACCUUGGCUAGAAUUACAGAGCUUGAUCAAGUCUCAUCCAUGGUUGACACUGUUUGUUGGAUGAUUUGGACAUUUGGAGCCUCUCUAUGUGGGGAGAGUUUUCUUUAUCCCUUUCAAAUCGGUAUGCCAUCUCUACAUACCUGAAUUAUUAUAAAGGUAACAAGGUUAUAAGCUCCCCCAUGCCUGCCAGGAUGCACUGCUUUGCUGUGACUGAGCCACACUAGGUGCUAAACUUUUCUGCACUAAUGCAAUCAAAUUAGAAGUUAAAUCUGAUACUGUAACAAGUUACCACCUGGGAACAGAAAUGCUUUGCUGUUUUAUUUUUUCUUCGUAGCAUUGUGAAAUGAACAUGGCAUGUGGCACAUUUUAAUUACAGCAAAUAUUAAUUUUUAAUGGGAAAUGUACACCUGGCUUUGUAUUGUUCAUAAAUUAUCUGAGAGGUUGAAAUUUAUUUACGUGAUUUUGAUGCAGUUGUAAUUAAAGUGAAGAAACUAAUAGCCUUCUGUAAUUGAAGGCACAUUAAUCUGAAAGCUACCUGAGGGCAGGGAUUCUGUGUUAACCGUGUUGUAUACUCAAUUUAGUAAAAUACGAGUCUUGGGAUUAGUGGUCUUGUAUGCGAUGUGCUACACAUUUUCCAGAUAUUUCUAGGGUAUUUUCUGAGCUUUAGAAAAGUGAUAAUAUGAUCUAGUACUGUAGGUAAUUAUGUGCUAAGAAAAGAGGAUUCUAUCACAUUAUCUGGCAUUGCUUUUUUAGUUUUGUAAUGGAGUAAUUGAUUAGUACUACUGCAUUUUAGCAAGGUAUUUUGCUCCUAUACCUAGUGGAUGAUGUUUAAGUUAACUCUAUUUGUGUGUCCCUGAGAAAGAGAACCGAGGCAGGCGCUCGGGGAAUGGAACAGGGACAAAGAAACCAACCAAAUAACACUAGGUAUCAGUUUUCAGCUGCAUGUAAACUCAACUUAUUUUUUAAUGAUUUUAUUAGGAAGCUUUCUACAUUCUAUUUUGUAAUGCAUUUCCCUGAGGGAACUUUAGACCUUGCAGGCCUGUUUGCAAUUCCUGUCAGAUUAGGGGGGAAAGAAAGAGAACAGAAUGAUGGAAAUUUCACACGUUAUUCAGUGUUUUAAAAAUCCAGUUUCUUAGCCUGACAGUUUCUUAAAUCUGUAGACCUUGAUGUUUUAAUCUUAUGCAUUCUGAUGGAGCUUGAUAUUCAUAACUGGUGGGCUUGGUAAAUUUUUAAUCAGGAAGUUGAAUAUGAUGAGAAAACACAAGGGGAGGUUUGUGUUUUGCACCUUGUCAUCAAGCUUUCCAGUUUCAUUUUCACUUUUUGCACUAAGAGUAUUCCUCAGAGGUGUCAGAGCUGCCCAAAGCUGACUUCCAUCCAUAUUGAAAUGACUUUUUCUGAGCUUUCCAAAAUUCCAAUUUCAGUGCAGGUGGUAAUAUCUGAAUGUGAGCAGCAGAAUAAAUAGCAGUUUAAAACUCAUAUAAAUAUACAUUUAUGCUCCAUGUGUGAACUCAUAAGGUGUGGGAUAAAUCUUGUCAUUUCAACAUAAACGGAAUAACAAAUAGAUUGAAAGUGGGAUGCACUGUUGCGAAUACAUGAUCUGGAUGCGCAGUGCGAUUAAACAGUGAUGGCUUCAUGAGAAUCGAAUUUCAAAGAUCACACAAUCGAUUAAAACAAUUCAGUCUCCCUGGUCAUUUUUGUCAGUAAAUUAAAACAUUAAUUUCAUCCCAAGAAUGUUUUUCAGUGUUUUUUAUUGUACAAAGUAACAAACACAUGCAAAAGUAGAGAAUAGUAACAUGAUUCCUCAUGUACCCAUCCCCAGAUUCGAUAAUUAAAACUCAUAGCCAAUCAUGUUUAAUCUAUAUCCCCACUUGUUUUCUCCACAUUCCUGAAUUGUUUUAAAGCCAAGGCCAGACAUCACACAUUUUAUCCAUAAAUGUUUCAGUAUGUAUCUCUAAAUAUAAUUACACCCAAUCCUUCAACAUUAACAUUGAUUCCCUAAGAUGAUUAAUAUCUGAUCGCUGUUCAGAUUUUCCCAGUUAUCUUACAUAUUUAUAAAGUUUCCUUGAACUGAAAUCCAAACGAGGACUAUAGAAUGCAAUUAGUUAAUAUGGCUAGAGUUCCUUAGUCUAUAAAGAGUAAAGAACUUUCCAUUCAUAUUUUACUCUCUUUUUUCUUAGAAUUCUUAAAUUAAAGAAACUAGAUUGUCUUCCUGAGUCUUUUGUGAAAAAUAUGAUUGUGAAUUUUCUUGUUUAUCGCACACAAUAAAUCCACCUUAUAAAUUAUUGAUUGAACCAAUAAAACCUAUCAAAACAAUUUAAUUGAAUACACAUACACCACACACUCUAGUUUUUUUUUUAUUUUUAAUUUUUAUGGUUAUGGAAGAGUUGUACA